CAGUCGCCGCGGUAAUACGGAGGGUGCGAGCGUUAAUCGGAAUAACUGGGCGUAAAGGGCACGCAGGCGGUGACUUAGGUGAGGUGUGAAAUCCCCGGGCUCAACCUGGGAAUUGCGUUCUGAACUGGGUGGCUAGAGUGUGUCAGAGGGGGGUAGAAUUCCACGUGUAGCAGUGAAAUGCGUAGGGAUGUGGAGGAAUACCGAUGGCGAAGGCAGCCCCCUGGGAUAGCACUGACGUUCAUGCCCGAAAGCGUGGGUAGCAAACAGGAUUAGAUACCCGUGUAGUCCCUGUCUCUUAUAC
rnacentral:rRNA from 1 species